GAUGAACGCUGGCGGCGUGCCUAAUACAUGCAAGUCGAGCGAACGGACGAGGAGCUUGCUUCUCUGACGUUAGCGGCGGACGGGUGAGUAACACGUGUAUACCCUACCUAGAAGACUGGGAUAACUUCGGGAAACCGUAGCUAAUACCGGAUAAUAUCUUGAACCGCAUGGUUCAAUAGUGAAAGACGGUUUUGCUGUCACUUCUAGAUGGAUCCGGGCUGGAUUAGCUAGUUGUUAAGGUAACGGCCUACCAAGGCAACGAUGCGUAGCCGACCUGAGAGGGUGAUCGGCGACACUGGAACUGAGACACGGUCCAGACUCCUACGGGAGGCAGCAGUAGGGAAUCUUCGGCAAUGGGCGAAAGCCUGACGGAGCAACGCCGCGUGAGUGAUGAAGGUCUUCGGAUCGUAAAGCUCUGUUAUUAGGGAAGAACAGAUGUGUAAGUAAAUGUGGACGUCUUGACGGUACCUAGUCAAAAAGCAACGGCUAACUACGUG
rnacentral:rRNA from 1 species